AAUGAACGCUGGCGGCAUGCCUUACACAUGCAAGUCGAACGGCAGCAUGACCUAGCUUGCUAGGUUGAUGGCGAGUGGCGAACGGGUGAGUAACGCAUCGGAACGUGCCUUUUAGUGGGGGAUAACGUAGCGAAAGUUACGCUAAUACCGCAUAUUCUCUGAGGAGGAAAGCAGGGGACCUUCGGGCCUUGCGCUAGAAGAGCGGCCGAUGUCGGAUUAGCUAGUUGGUGAGGUAAAGGCUCACCAAGGCAACGAUCCGUAGCGGGUCUGAGAGGAUGAUCCGCCACACUGGGACUGAGACACGGCCCAGACUCCUACGGGAGGCAGCAGUGGGGAAUUUUGGACAAUGGGCGCAAGCCUGAUCCAGCCAUGCCGCGUGAGUGAAGAAGGCCUUCGGGUUGUAAAGCUCUUUCGGCUGGGAAGAAAUCGCACCCUCUAAUACAGGGUGUGGAUGACGGUACCAGCAUAAGAAGCACCGGCUAACUACGUG
rnacentral:rRNA from 1 species